GUGAUUGGGUUUUGGUCUAUGAUAGUAGCUUAUACAAUCAACAUAGUACUUUAAGGAAGUUUUCUAAUCCAUGGUUUAGAAGGUGUCGUAAUGUCUGAAGUCUUGCUUUAAAAUGCUCUAGGCACCUGGAUGUAGAAGGAAGAAUAAAAAUUGCGAUAACAAAAUCCUAAUUCUAAUAGAAUAUUAACAAUGCUCUAAUUAGACUAUAAUAAUGGUAAACAAACGUAAUCAAAUUCAAAACAACUCAAAGAAAUUUCAAACAAACAAUAAAAUUCUUAAAAAAAUAUUAGAAUGAACACAAAUAUUACUCAAAUAUAUGUCAAUUCAACCUGAAUUUAAUUCUAGUUAAAACCGUAUUAAAUUUCACUCAAACUUUAGACCAAACUUAAUUAAAUCUUAAACCCUAAUAAAUCCUAAAUCCUAAGUCAAAUCCUAAAAAAAUCUUAAAUUAAAUCCUAAAGCAAAUCCUAUUUUAAAUCCUAAAUCCUAAACCAAAUCCUAAAUCAAACCCUAAAUCAAACCCUAAACCCUAAUCCAAACUCUAAUCCAAUUCUAAACCCUAAUCUAAAUCUUAAAUCAAAUCCUAACCAAAUCCUAAAUCCUAAUCCAAAUCCUAAAUCAAACCCUAACCAAAUCCUAAAUCCUAACCAAAUCCUAAUCCAACCCUAAACCCUAACCAAAUCCUAAAUCCUAAUCCAAACCUUAAUCCAAACCCUAAAUCAAACCCUAACCUAACUUUAAUCCAAAUCCUAAUCUAAAUCUUAAAUCAAAUCCUAACCAAAUUCUAAUCA
rnacentral:lncRNA from 1 species